CAGCCGUAAACUAUGCGCGUUAGGUGUAUCGGUGACCACGAGUUACCGAGGUGCCGAAGGGAAACCGUGAAACGUGCCGCCUGGGAAGUACGGUCGCAAGGCUGAAACUUAAAGGAAUUGGCGGGGAGCACCACAACAGGUGGAGCCUGCGGUUUAAUUGGACUCAACGCCGGGAAGCUCACCGGAUAAGACAGCAGAAUGAUUGCCGGGCUGAAGACUCUGCAUGACUAGCUGAGAGGUGGUGCAUGGCGUC
rnacentral:rRNA from 1 species